rnacentral:rRNA from 1 species
CCGCCCGUCACGUCAUGAAAGUCGGUAACACCCGAAGCCGGUGGCCUAACCCCUUGUGGGAGGGAGCUGUCGAAGGUGGGAUUGGCGAUUGGGACGAAGUCGUAACAAGGUAGCCGUACCGGAAGGUGCGGCUGGAUCACCUCCUUUCU